AACGCUGGCGGCGUGCUUAACACAUGCAAGUCGAACGGAAAGGCCCUGCUUUUGUGGGGUGCUCGAGUGGCGAACGGGUGAGUAACACGUGAGUAACCUGCCCUUGACUUUGGGAUAACUUCAGGAAACUGGGGCUAAUACCGGAUAGGAGCUCCUGCUGCAUGGUGGGGGUUGGAAAGUUUCGGCGGUUGGGGAUGGACUCGCGGCUUAUCAGCUUGUUGGUGGGGUAGUGGCUUACCAAGGCUUUGACGGGUAGCCGGCCUGAGAGGGUGACCGGCCACAUUGGGACUGAGAUACGGCCCAGACUCCUACGGGAGGCAGCAGUGGGGAAUAUUGCACAAUGGGCGGAAGCCUGAUGCAGCAACGCCGCGUGCGGGAUGACGGCCUUCGGGUUGUAAACCGCUUUCGCCUGUGACGAAGCGUGAGUGACGGUAAUGGGUAAAGAAGCACCGGCUAACUACGUGCCAGCAGCCGCGGUGAUACGUAGGGUGCGAGCGUUGUCCGGAUUUAUUGGGCGUAAAGGGCUCGUAGGUGGUUGAUCGCGUCGGAAGUGUAAUCUUGGGGCUUAACCCUGAGCGUGCUUUCGAUACGGGUUGACUUGAGGAAGGUAGGGGAGAAUGGAAUUCCUGGUGGAGCGGUGGAAUGCGCAGAUAUCAGGAGGAACACCAGUGGCGAAGGCGGUUCUCUGGGCCUUUCCUGACGCUGAGGAGCGAAAGCGUGGGGAGCGAACAGGCUUAGAUACCCUGGUAGUCCACGCUGUAAACGGUGGGUACUAGGUGUGGGGUCCAUUCCACGGGUUCCGUGCCGUAGCUAACGCUUUAAGUACCCCGCCUGGGGAGUACGGCCGCAAGGCUAAAACUCAAAGGAAUUGACGGGGCCCCGCACAAGCGGCGGAGCAUGCGGAUUAAUUCGAUGCAACGCGUAGAACCUUACCUGGGUUUGACAUGGAUCGGGAGUGCUCAGAGAUGGGUGUGCCUCUUUUGGGGUCGGUUCACAGGUGGUGCAUGGCUGUCGUCAGCUCGUGUCGUGAGAUGUUGGGUUAAGUCCCGCAACGAGCGCAACCCUUGUUCACUGUUGCCAGCACGUUAUGGUGGGGACUCAGUGGAGACCGCCGGGGUCAACUCGGAGGAAGGUGGGGAUGACGUCAAGUCAUCAUGCCCCUUAUGUCCAGGGCUUCACGCAUGCUACAAUGGCUGGUACAGAGAGUGGCGAGCCUGUGAGGGUGAGCGAAUCUCGGAAAGCCGGUCUCAGUUCGGAUUGGGGUCUGCAACUCGACCUCAUGAAGUCGGAGUCGCUAGUAAUCGCAGAUCAGCAACGCUGCGGUGAAUACGUUCCCGGGGCUUGUACACACCGCCCGUCAAGUCAUGAAAGUUGGUAACACCCGAAGCCGGUGGCCUAACCGUUGUGGGGGAGCCGUCGAAGGUGGGACUGGUGAUUAGGACU
rnacentral:rRNA from 1 species